rnacentral:rRNA from 1 species
UACGUAGGCAGCAAGCGUUGUUCGGAGUUACUGGGCGUAAAGGGUGUGUAGGCGGUUGUUUUAAGUUUGGUGUGAAAUCUCCCGGCUCAACUGGGAGGGUGCGCCGAAUACUGAAUGACUAGAGUGCGGGAGAGGAAAGUGGAAUUCCUGGUGUAGCGGUGAAAUGCGUAGAUAUCAGGAGGAACACCGGUGGUGUAGACGGCUUUCUGGACCGU